rnacentral:siRNA from 1 species
AGGAAGAGAUGGUAGCGCGUGGA